UGAAUGAAUAUUCAGUUAAUUAAUAUUUAUGAUCAAUAACUUAAAAAAUAUUUUGAGAUACAAUUUCCAUAUCCACAUAUAGUGAAAUGGUUUUGAGAAUAUCCUAAGAGGUCACCUCAGUGAGUACAAUGGAAUUUUAGGACAUUUUAAUCACUUGAAAAACUCAAUACCCAAGGCUGGUCCUCUUGUCAGCAAUGCUACACUCCCAGCUGAAGGCAGUAUCUCUCAUCUGCCUUCUGUCUUUUCUACCAAUCUGCCUACGCCAACAGCAACAUGAAGACAUUAUAGAUGUUAGAGUGUUAGAUAUGCCAGUUAUUCCAGUAUCAUCAUUAUACAUUAUAUACAUGACCUGAAAUGUCACAUCAUACCCAAUAAUAUGCACAGUUAAGUUUUGAUGUAUCAAUUCAAUGUAGUGUAUACCUGUCCAAUUUCAUACUCAUGUAAGGUUCAAAGUUCCCACAUCCUAGUGAACACUUGCAGUCACCAUCUUGCUAGCUGGGAGCAGUAUUUCUUAAGAGUUUAAUCUGUUUUGUCCUAUUGAUAGUGUCCUUUGCCUUACAUAAGCUUUGCAGUUUCAGAGUUUAGUUUGUUAUCAGCAUGGCAGGAAGCAUGUUGGCAUGUAGGUAGACAUUGUGCUGGAAAAGGAGGUGAGAGUUCUACACCUGGAUCUACAGAGAUCAGGAAGAGAGAGAGCCCCUAGGGUUGGCUUGGGCUUUUGAAACCUCACAGCCCAAUCCAAAUGAAAUACUUUCUUUGACAAGGCUAUACCUACCACACCUCAUAAUCCUUCCAAAAAGCGCCACUUCCUGAUUACUAAGCAUCAAAUUAUGAGCCUAUAGGGCCAUUCUUGUUCAAACCACCACAUAUACAUGUCCAACACUGACAGCAAAGAAUACUACCUAAAAGUCAUUAAAAACGCAUUCAACAAAUACUUGGGUGUUUUUGAAUAGAUAAGAACCAAAUUAAAAUUUAAAGCCAGUCCUCAGUGAGUCUCUAUCUUACCUCAUGGGAGAUAGAGAACUGCUAGGGUCUCUCUCUACCCUAUGGCAGAUACCAUAGGAAAGUUCAAGAUAAAGUUUGAUUGUGGAGUUUAUUUCCAGCUUGGAGAGUAAGGUUUUAAAAGUAUUGAGGUUCAGGGAUGGAAAAAUAAUUGAGAGUUGAAAGAUGAAAAGCGUGAUGGACUGGAUAGUCAGAAAUCAAGCUGGACAUGUGUAACAUACACACAGGGAACAGAAAUAAACAUGGAGGGUAAGGAAUGCAGGUUACAGUUCUCAGGGAGGAGGAAGGCACUUGAAUAUGAACUGAGCUUGCAUUAGAAAGAUUAAUUUCUAUAACUAAGUUUCUAGGAUAUUUCAAUAAUCUGAAUGGUAAUCUCUGAUAUUGGAGAUUAAAUGGGAACUUUUAUAGUGGACUAGGCUAGAGGUUGUAGGGACAUGAGAAAAUACAGGAUCCAUGAUUUGGUCAGUACAUGGGUUAGGAAGGGAACUAUAGGCAUUAUGCUAUGUAGGCACAGUGAACAAGUCUGUAUUGUGGGGUUUUGUUCUGCCUCUGCUUCCUUUGCUUGCAUUGAUCUGUAUAUUUACUGUGAAGUUUAUAAUGCACAAUGAAUAAAGGAGUAAAAUGCAGAAAGUGCUCAGGGUAGAGACAAAUUCAAAACUCAGAUGCCCAUGAGUCAGACAAUGAACAAUACAAUUCAAUUAGUAACUUCCUGUAUUUUAUGUGUUUUUAAAUUUAUUUGAUUACUUCAUAUAACUACAAUACUCUGCUUCUAAUAAACUUGAGAUAAAGGUUAAAAAUAAAUCUCUAGCUGCAUAUGUGUCAAAAGAUGGCCUAGUUGGCCAUCACUGGAAAGAGAGGCCCAUUGGACACGCAAACUUUAUAUGCCCCAGUACAGGGGAACGCCAGGGCCAAAAGGGGGGAGUGGGUGGGUAUGGGGGACUUUUGGUAUAGCAUUGGAAAUGUAAAUGAGCUAAAUACCUAAUAAAAAAUGGAAAAAAAAUAAAGUUGAUGGGGGAUUUUUUUUUUGGUACUAUAUUACCCUAUUCUACUUUUUAAGUUCAGUUUAUGGGAAAUGAUUCUUUAUAUUGUGUUACCUCAGCUACCUACAGGAAAGAAUAACCUCAUCCCCAUGUGUGCUGAGUGCUUCCUAUUUCUCAGGUAGUUCUAGACAUCAUUAUAUCUGUGAGUUUCAAGCUGUACUGUAGCACAUAGUUGCUUUGCAUGGUUUGUCGAUAAUAGGCAAAUCAUGAACUACAACAAAAAGGAAUAUACCAGCAGUGUUACUGAGCAAUGUGAGAUGUAAUCAGUUUUCACACUAAACAUACUUACAGACUAGAGAAAUUAUUACCGCAGAGUAUACAGAAAAAUGUAUUUCUAGCAGAGAGUCUAGAAUAGAUAAUAUUCCUCUUCUCACCCCUCAUUCCCAAAGAUGUUAUGUGACAGUAUUCUUUCAGCAGUAGACACUAUAUUGAUUGUAAAUAUUUUACUAGAAGUAAGCCUCAAGGACUGCUUUGGAAAAUGGCAGAUAACAAGAAGGCAUGAUUUGCUAGAGUCUUCAGAGAAUACACUGGGGAAAGUUGGAAAACAUCCAUAAAAAGGUGAGCAAUGCUCCUAAAUCUCUACUUUAAUAGCAAAGUAUAAUAGGAAUUUUACAAAACAGAGCAAGGGAAAAAAUUUAGUGUCCAUCCUGGAGGGGCUGAUGCACCCGGGGAGCCAUCCUACCUCUAGGCUAUGCAGGAGAAACUCUGAUUUAGCACUGCACACCAGUAUUCAGCAAAGUGGAAACCUGGUUGAAGUUAAGAGUCUGUAAGGCAAUAUAGAUGGGUUUCAAGUGGCACCCCUAACAUCCUGAAGGACGUCCCAGGAGUGGUACAGUAUUCAUGGCCAGACGAGAGGUAUGAAUGGCCUAUAAAAAACUUCCCACUCGUCGAAUCAACAUCUGUGACCAGUCUUUUACAAAGGACUACUUAGGAGUGUGACAGGCAUUAUGGAGACAGAAAAGAAGUUCUCAGAGUCAAGAUUUGAAUCAUAAAGUAGGCAAGAACUUCACGGUAGAAGGAAUGAACAUUUACAUGAUAGCAAAGAUAAGAAACUAUGAGUAGAAUAUUAAAGAUCUAUGGAAAACUGUAAAAGAUCAAACAUAUGAUUCGCAGGCAUACAAAGAGAAUUUCAUGCUAAUGGCAUGGAAAACAUCAAGUUAUAGCCGUCCCACCCUCCCAGCAUUGCUAUACUUUGAUGGGAGAAACUGUUUUUCAGUAAAACGAUAGCAGAUCUCCCAAAUCUAGGGGAAGAAGUGUCCAUUCUAGUACAGGAGGAAUUCAGAACACCAAAGACCACCAGAGUAAAACCUCCCCACAUCAUAGCUAAAUAUUAAGUCUACAAAACAAAGGACAUGUUUUGAAAGCUGUAAGAGAAACAAGUAAAUGAAGUAAAUUACAUAAUAUAAAGACAGUCUCAUUGGAGUAACACUACAUUUCACAGCAGAAACUUUCAAAGUCAGGAGGGCUUGGAAUUCUGUUUUCCAAGCUCUAAAAGGCAAGGAAUGCAAACUCAGACUACUACACCCAGCAAAUCAUGUCAUAACUGAAAAGCAAAACAACAGAUGCUCUGCUGACGACUUGGACAAAAGAUAACACUUAGUCUGUUGGUGGAAAUGUAACUAGUCCAGUCACUAUGGAAAUCAGUAUGGAAGUUCCUCAAAAAACUAAAACUACAAUAUAGCCUGGGUCUAGCACUCCUGUGCAUUUAUUUAUACAAAGAACUCUAAGUCAAUACAUCACAGUACACUUACUGCAUAUGAAUGUUUACUACAGAUCUUUUCACAAGAGAUAAACUAUGGAACCAACCAAAAUGUCCAACAACAGAUAAAGAAAAUAUGCUAUUUAUGUACAAUGGAAUUUCUUCUAGCCGUGGAGUUAACUUCAAGUAGAAAUAAGUGAAGAGAAUCUUAUCACGGGAAGUAAGCCUGUCUGCGAAAGACACAUAUCCACAUUUUCUCUCCCUUUAGGCCAUGAAAGCAGAAGCAAUCCUGAUAUCAUAUGGAGAGUAAUGGGGAGGACAACAGGAAGAUGCUCAGUGUGCACUUGUAUUUGUGAGAAUGUCUUCAGUGUAACACAGUGGUGUGUGCAGUGACUGCAAUCCUGGUUUGCACUAUACACGGUACUUUCUAGGCAACACACCAAGAACGUUCUUAUUAUGGCAGUGCUUGUGCUGUUAGUAUUUAAAUACUUCAUUUUGAAGCUGGGGAGCAGUCUCAAAUUGUGCUCAUGCACUGUACUUGUGACAGUGCCUGCUUGCUAGUGCAUUUCUACUGACUGGACACUGCAUUCAUAUGUCUUUAGUUGUUCUUCUAUGUUUAGUUCUUUAUCACGUGUGCUUUCCUCUCUCUCCCAGUAGAUGUUCACUGUUGCACUGUUUCAGUGUAUUAAAGAAGCAAACACAGUGGAGGGCCAGCCAGCAUAGCUAUGGUAGCUCCAGAACAAAAAGCCCAGAGGAAAUCAGAGCCUCUUUGUGAACAGGUAUAUAAAAGUUUAUAGAGCAUAUGAUUUUUAAGAAAAAUGUAAGAUAAUAUAGGACUUUAAGAUAUUGGUAUAUAGCUUUGAUAAGUAUAAGAUUUCUCACUUCAAAAUUAAUAACACAAUCCCGAGACAAUAACCUUUUGAUGGUGUGAAAUGAAUAUUUUUUGAAGUAGAAUUGCAUUUAAGUUGCUAAAGUGUAUAUUUGAGUUUUAAUGAUUAUUCACUCAUGGAGAUAAGUUUUGGGUUUGGAGCAAAUGCCUGAGUAGUAUGCCUGAGUUUACCACCAUUGUUUGUCUUUUUUAAUUUUUAUUUUUUAUUUUAUUUUUUUAACCAGCAUUGUUAAAUAAGUUUUAGAACAUUUCCUUAGCAGUGAAACUAUUUGCAUCUUAAGAAAGAAUUAACAGACAAUAAAAAUAUAGUAUGUAUAGAAAUUAAGACUUAAAUGAUUUCUUUCUUGUAGUGAUAUAUAAAAAUAUGAGUAUAAUAUUCUUGUUAGAAUUUUAGAAUUUUCCUUAAAAGUUUUAGAAUAUUUUUGUUUACAGAAUGCUUAUAUAUUGAUUUUUUUUUUUUUUGAGAUAGCGUUUCUCUGCAUGGCCUGGCUGAUGUGGAGCUCACUAUGUAGACUAAGCUGGCCUGGAACUCACAGAGAUCUUCCUGCCUGCCUUUGCCCCAUGAAUACUGAGAUUAAAGGCAUGUGCCACCACACCCAGCAUGAUGAAUUCUUAAUGCUUAUAGUAAGCUAAAAAAUAAGCUCAUUGUAGUGCAAUUAAUUUAUGUAAGACCAUUAUAUACUACAAAGUUGUCCACUAAUACAUUCUUUAUGGUUAUUACAGCAAGUCUGUUGAUACUAUUUCAUGGGCAAGACUCUAGGAUUUUCGAGAAAGAAUAUUAUUUUAGGAUGUAUUCUUCGUGCAGGCAGUUAGACCUACUGUAAUCUGCUAUUGGUCACAUGCACACAUCCUUCAGUCAUUUUCCUUUUUGUCCUAAUGUAAUUAUGUUAUAAUAUUUGUUGCAAUGUACAAGUAAAUUGUACUUCUAUUAACAUACAUCAUAAACCUCUUUCUAAAUCUUAGACUUCUUAUGCCACGUUUGAAAUUACAGGACUGGUUUAGAUUACACUAUUAAUUGCAUUACUAGCUUCUACUUCUCCUAAAAUGAGCUUAAUUUAUAUGACUUACCAUUUCAAUCUUUAAGAUAACUCAAAUUACCUCUCAAUGUCUGCUAUUUCAGCUGAAAAAUAAGGAUACUGGGUUUGGUUCAUAAUAGUAAUAGAUGAAGAAAUAAAUGUUAAUAUUUUUGUUCUGAAAUCUCUUGAAAUUUGUUUAUGUACACCUACAGAAAAGUGCAAGAAAAUUUUAUUCAUAUUGUGACAUAUGGUGAUUUUUGACUGCAGCUUCCGUCUCUAGUAUAUUGAAGGAAAGUGACUGACAUGCUGUGGACAUCCCACCUGGGCUUACCUGAGCCGUUUUUCAGAUAUCCAUUUGCAUCUACUGUUGUGUACAUGAUAUAAGGUCCAGGCUGAUUUACUCCAAAAGGCUGCAGGAAGAAAGGAAAUAGUUGGCCUUGAGAAAGUUGCCUUCAGUGAAUGCUUAUCAACUAUACACAGUUGUUCAAAAGUGUGGGCCAGAAAGAUUGUAAGAGUCAGUGGGAAUGGAAGACACUAAGGAAACGAGGCCUUCUAAACACAACAGGACUGACACACAUCUGACCACAGAGACUGUGGCAGCAUGCAGAGAUCUAAGGACUGUAGGACCCUAUGGUAUGAACCUCCUUGACCUUCAAAACAGAGCAUCUGGAAUCUAAGAGACGGGAUCUCCCUAUUCAAAGUCUACCUACUCAGCCUCUUGGGUUUAUAGUGUGCACCACAAUGCCUGGAUUAGAUCUAAAAACAAGACAGAUCAAAACAAAAUAAAUUCCUAUGACUGCCUUGGAAAUUAGGAUUUCUUGCUAUAAAUUCAAUGUGAGUCUGCUGAUCAGCUGUAGAUACCAUCAUUACAAACCAAAAGUUAAAGUAUACUGUUUAAAUAUUUGAAAGUUUAAAAAAAAUUCGCAAAGAAAUUUAAAGCAAAAAUAAAAAUUAUUUGGAUGCUCUUCUAAGGAAGAGAAAUCAGGCUUAAAUAAAUUUAAGGAAUAUUAUUUUUGCAAAUACAGUUUAUACCCAUAAUAAAGCAAUUUUAUGUUUCUUUAUAAGACUUUAUAGUUUUUGUUCUUCCCUUGUAAAAGGAUAGGUCUCAUUAUACAGUCCAGGCUACUCUGACAGUAUUGUAAAAGAGUGAUUAACUCAUGGUUCAUUUGUCCUUUUUUAGGCCAAACACAUAAAAUUAAAGUUCAUAGGUGAAUUUAAGUUCAGAUUACUCUUAAUUUUCUAAAACUAUUUUAGAAGUACCCACUCAUGGUGUUUCUAAGUAAACAAUGAAAUAAUGUUCAGAACAUGUGGGUGAGUAGAACAGGAAAGAUGACCUCUCAAAGAAUACAACAGGAUGUAAGAUGAAAAAAACAAGAGAAACUUAGGGGUAGCCACAUUUGUGGAGUCUGGUGACACUGAAUUAAAUACAAAUUUCAGCUUAUCUUCAGAUUUUUUUUUUAAAGUUGCCACAGUAUCAAAGUCACUGGUUAUGUUAUGAAUAUACUUACAUACCUCAUAUAUAGAUAAAUUAUAUCAAUAAUCAUGUUGGAAAUUCUGAUGCUUUUAGAAAACAAGUAAUCAUAAGGAAAUAUUUACUCAGAACAGCAUCACUCUGUGCAGAGUGUUCUCGACAUGGCUCGUUCAUUUGCUGUACUUCACUCAUGCAGAGGUAUAUUCAUUACUCGCUUUUCUUACUUUGUCAGUUUAGGCGAUCUGUCCCAGGUCACACAGUGCUGGGUUGAACCUGAAGUCUAGGAUCAGAUUUUAACCACCAAUAUUUAGUCUCAAAAAUGUUCUGUCAUUCAUCUUUAGAAAAAAAAAUGUUUUAAAUAUCAACUUUUGAUGAAUGAAAAAUAACUUUAUUUUACAGUGAAUGUUCUUUUUUUUUUUCCUCUACAGAAAAUGAAUCUAUAAAAAAGCCAUGGGAUGAGUUCACCGAUUACACAAGAAACUAUAAGCUGACCCCAUUGACUCCUCCUGGGAGAGACUGUACCAGAUUAAGUACUGUCAGUCACAAGUAGCUGUGAGAAGACAUUUUGCAAGUGUCUGCCAUGCAGUUUACCCCCUACCUUCCAGAUGUAUUCUUCAAUAUAGCCAGAGCAUCUGGGUAGCCGUCCAUGUUGUAGUCUCCAAUGUGAAGUGUGAGUGGGAUUGGUAUUGUGGUUGGUUGUUCUUCAUGCACAAAUGGCACAAAGCCCCAGAGUGUACCCUUAUUGCUAAAAUCCUGAAGCACAGGAACCCACUAAGGAUAAAGAAAAAAAAAAAAAAAGAGUAUUUAUAAUCACUUUAGGGAAAUAGUCACCAUUUGCAAAAGGAACGAUCCAUCCAAAGUGCUGAAGACAGUCAUCAUUUUAUUUCAUUUUCACAGAAUGGCCGGCAUGAUCAUUUAUUCUGAUGUACGUGUGAGACCCUGGGAGGACUGGUCUUCCAUAGGCUUUGUCCUGAGCAUCUUUGCUUGAACAGCACACAGAGCCACAGGGUCCUCACACAUACAUGCAACCGUAGGAAUGAACAAGCUCUGUCCUCACCUGACAGGCAUCGCACAGACAAGGGGAAUCUACUAUGACACCAAAAUAGAUGGAAGCAAAAGUUUUAGUAAAUCUUCAUGGUCUAUAAUGAUUACAAGGAAGAGAAUAGAAAAGAUUAGCUUGACUGUAAAGUGAGCUUCUUCCCUCUUCUGAUUUGCACAGGUCUCCUCAUGCUUUGAUAAAUUAAUAUAAAACUAGAAUCUGAAGAGUAGAGAUCAUAGCAUUAACAUUACAGCUGUGUCACACUCCCUUAGGAAUCAUUAUGUUAGCAUUGAUCCUAGACAUGUCUUAAGUGGAAGCAGGUAUACUUCAAUUGGCAAGUAGCCAAACAUGCCCACACAUGCAUUUUUUCCCCCUCACAAGCAAAUGGUUAACCUUGAUUGCUGCAAACUAAAGUAUAUUAAAAAUGAUUAAAAAUAAAAGGUCUAGGGAAAAAAAAGACUAUCUCUAAAAUUUUGUAAGUUUUCCUAAGAAAGUUUAAUUUGCCAUUGUGGGGGUUGGGCGGACCCUUAGUGAUAAAACAUUGAAUAAAUUUACUUAAGGAAAAAGUAUUACUUUCUAUCUUGUGAACUUUAAAAAACAAACAUUUAGACUGUGCAGUGGUAGUGCAUGCCUUCAAUCACAAUAUCCGGGAGGCAGGGAGGGGCAAGUAAGUCUCUGCCUUUGCGGACAGCUUGUUCUUCAGAGCUCGUCCUACAAUAGCCUAGGCGACACAGAGAAACUCUGUUGUGGGGAGGAGGGACAGACAAACAAAACACCCUAAACAAACAUUUAAAAAUUUUUACCUAAUUUUGAAAAAACAAAAGAAAACAAAACUGCUACUGUUGCAUGCUGAAAAAUACUGGAAAUUUCACAAAAUGCUAAGUUGGCACAAUAUUCUAAAGCAAUGAUCACUGUAGGAUUGCACGCCUUUACAUCCUCAUGUUCAGGAGGCAGAGGUAGGUGGAUUUCCAUGAGUUCAAGGCCAACCUGGUCUACAUAGUGAGUUCCAGAACAGACAGAUACAGAGGGAUCCUACCUGAAAAACAAAACCUCUAAACCAAAACCAAACCAAACCAAACCAAAAAAACCCAAAACCAACCCACAAAAACAAACACACAACAAAAUCCUAAAAUAAGCUAAACUGGAAAAAGAAAAAGAUUUUCUAAAUUCUGAAGCAGUCAACAGUCUGAAUGAGGGGUAAAUCCAUGGCAGAUCAAGUGUUUCCAUUAAGGUUUUUUUUUUUUUUUUUUUUUUUUUGGUUUUUCGAGACAGGGUUUUUCUGUAGCCUGGCUGUCCUGGAACUCACUCUGUAGGCCAGGCUGGCCUUAAACUCAGAAAUCCACCUGCCUCUGCUUCCCGAGUGCUGGGAUUAACGGCGUGUGCCACCACUGCCUGGCAUAUUAUGUUUUAACAAAGAAUUUUUCACUUAAUGUGGUAUCUGUAACACUCAUCAAAGAACAAUACAUUGGUCUUCCUAGAGAUAGGAAACUAUAUAUAUAUAACUUUUAAGUAUUCCCAUUGUGGUCUAUCACUUAACAGAUUGAGUUAUAAAUAAAAUUUUAUACCUAUGAACUAAUGAUGGGAAGUUUCUUGACCUAAUGUUUAAACGAUUCACAAAUAUACAACUAUACAAAGAUAAUAAAACAUGAUACUUCAAUUAUUUUUAAAAUGCUAAAUGCAUAAAGAUUUCUUUUAUUAAGUGAAUAUAAAUGUGCUGUUUUCUACUUAUAAGGCUCCUAAGGGCUAUAAAGGUCAGCAUGAUAUCCUAUCUUUUACUAACU